rnacentral:lncRNA from 1 species
ACUCCAGCCUCCUAAGAAGCCCUAAAUACCACAAAUUCCAGACCCUGCUCCCUGCCAGUAUACAGGUAAAAGGUCACACUUCCGUGCUGUUCCAGGGCCCGCUUCCUGUAUGGAACUAGGUGAAAGAGCAUUAAGACAGACCCUUGAAUACGUGAUCCUGGCCUAGUAAGAUAACAGGAGGAGAGGAGCUGACUAACUGCUUAUCUAGCAACUGUAAAGUGCUUGCACAAUGGAAGGAAAGAUUACACACUGAAAGAACUGCGUGGGGUCUUGAUGCUAUGAAAUGAUUGGUUUGCGAAACGCAGGCUUUGUUGUAACCCCAUAAAAGCUGUCCCAAUUCUGCACUCGUGGUCCGUGGUCCUCUACCCCUGCGUGGUGUACUGGGCCCCAGAGCACGCCUGGAAUAAAAAGUCCUCUUGCGGUUUGCA